GUAGUCGUGGCCGAGCGGUCAAGGCGAUGGACUUGAAAUCCAUUGGGGUCUCCCCGCGCAGGUUUAAAUCCUGCCGAUUACG